AGGCUCAGAAAGGCUGAGGACCCGCCCAUAGCCAUACCGUGGCUGUGGUUCAUGCUCAGACACACGGCUGAUUCUACAGCUACAGUAGAAUGAACUGAGUAGCUGGGAAAGUGUCGUGUUUAGAAGAUGCUGGGAGAAAAGUCCUCCAUGCUCUUCUGGGACAGCAUCAACACUUCAGCCUCACACGUUGCUUGGGAAGCAAUGAGAGACUGGCUAAGGCCAGAAGCAAAUGGAGGCACUCAGAGGUUAAGAAAUUGAGCAUAGCAUGCUUACAAAAUCUUCCCAAGCACUCAUGGUUUGGCAGGACAAGGCCAGAAUUCGAAACUACAGCAAGGCCUUAACUUCAAGAUAGCGACGAUAAUAGCACCCGACUCCCAAAAUGAUCGUGAGUUGUGAAAUGCUAACACGCAUACAAAACUCAGGGUGGUGCUUGGAACACAGGAAGCCGUACAGCAGGAGGCGGUGUCGUAAUUGCCCAUGAGCACGAUGCGUUUCUGUCGUCAAGCCGGGCUCACGUGCUUGCAUUUCCUGUCUACCGCGGUGAUGGGUGGAGCUGCACGUUCACUGUCUAGGCUGGGAAGUCUAAGCGCCACACAGUUAAGCAGUUGGCUUACAUUUGGUGGCGUAGCUGGGAAGAGAGCAGGCCAUCAGAUCUCUGACCCCUCGUUACCUUUGGAGGACGGACAGGAGGAGAAAGAACGGCUUGCUCUGGUACUCCUGGUAUAUUGUUAGAUGGGUCCCUACAUCCUGUUCCCAAUAUACUCCCUCAUAUCAAAAGCCAUCUUGGGCAUGAAGAAUAGAAGGAGGGAAAUAAGAGGAGAGAAAAAAAAAAGGAGAAAGACAUACAAUGUGAAAGAGACGGAUGUUUCCACUACCCCAAUAAGAAUGGUGGCUCUUAUUCAAAUCUUCCUCGACUGGGUUUAUGGAGACAAAGCCCAGGGUCCCUGCCUCACUGCCAGUCCUGUCAGGAUGGUCUUGUCGCUUCUAACCUGCCAGCAACCUGAGCAGCUCCCAGGCUCCCAGGCUACGUGCUGACAUCCUGAGAGCGGGAAUCCUGCCAGCUAACGGAUACAUGCCCCUGAGGACCACAUCUAAAACCUUUGGCCUCUUCUAAUUAGUUCACAAACCAUAGGAUGUUCUGUCUUACUCCACACUCCACUUACCUGCCUCACAACAAAGCUGUGCACUUCGGUUUAAAAUUAACUUACU